rnacentral:rRNA from 1 species
UACGUAGGGGGCUAGCGUUGUCCGGAAUCAUUGGGCGUAAAGCGCGUGUAGGCGGUCCGGUAAGUCCGCUGUGAAAGUCGGGGGCUCAACCUCGGAUGCCGGUGGAUACUGUCGGGCUUGAGUACGGAAGAGGCGAGUGGAAUUCCUGGUGUAGCGGUGAAAUGCGUAGAUAUCGGAAGGAACAUCAGUGGCGAAAGCGACUUCCUGGACCAAUACUGACGCUCAUGUGCGAAAGCG